AGAGUUUGAUCCUGGCUCAGAACGAACGCUGGCGGCGUGCUUCAUACAUGCAAGUCGUGCGAGAAAGUCCUGGCUUGCCAGGGCGAGUAAAGCGGCGAACGGGUGCGUAACACGUGAGUAAUCUGCCCCUAGGUGGGGGAUAAGCCUUCGAAAGGGGGUCUAAUACCGCAUAACACUCCGGGAUGGCAUCUUCCCGGAAUCAAAGAUGGCCUCUACUUGUAAGCUAUCGCCAAGGGAUGAGCUCGCGCUCUAUUAGCCUGUUGGUAGGGUAACGGCCUACCAAAGCUACGAUAGAUAGCCGGCCUGAGAGGGUGACCGGCCACACUGGGACUGAGAUACGGCCCAGACUCCUACGGGAGGCAGCAGUAGGGAAUAUUGCGCAAUGGACGAAAGUCUGACGCAGCAACGCCGCGUGCGGGAUGAAGCUUCUUGGAGUGUAAACCGCUGUCAGGAGGGACGAAUUGCCAUAAUCAUAAUACGGUUAUGGUUUGACGGUACCUCCAGAGGAAGCUCCGGCUAACUCCGUGCCAGCAGCCGCGGUAAUACGGGGGGAGCAAGCGUUGUUCGGAAUCACUGGGCGUAAAGGGUGCGCAGGCGGGAAAUCAGGUCGGAUGUGAAAACCUUGGGCUCAACCCAGGGCCUGCAUCCGAAACCGGUUUUCUUGAGUAUCGGAGAGGAAAGCGGAACUCCAGGUGUAGCGGUGAAAUGCGUAGAUAUCUGGAGGAACACCGGUGGCGAAGGCGGCUUUCUGGACGAAUACUGACGCUCGUGCACGAAGGCUAGGGGAGCAAACAGGAUUAGAUACCCUGGUAGUCCUAGCGGUAAACGAUGGGUACUAGGUAUCGGGGGUAUCGACCCCCCCGGUGCCGCAGCAAACGCAUUAAGUACCCCGCCUGGGGAGUACGACCGCAAGGUUGAAACUCAAAGGAAUUGACGGGGCCCCGCACAAGCAGUGGAGUAUGUGGUUUAAUUCGAUGCAACGCGAAGAACCUUACCUGGGUUUGACAUAUGCAGGAAAGCCUCAGAGAUGAGGCCCCUCCGCAAGGAGUCUGUUUACAGGUGCUGCAUGGCUGUCGUCAGCUCGUGCCGUGAGGUGUUGGGUUAAGUCCCGCAACGAGCGCAACCCCUGUCCCUAGUUGCCAGCGAUAAAGUCGGGAACUCUAGGGAGACUGCCGGUGACAAGCUGGAGGAAGGUGGGGAUGACGUCAAGUCCUCAUGGCCCUUACAUCCAGGGCUACACACGUACUACAAUGGCCGGUACAGUAGGUCGCAAUACCGCGAGGUGGAGCUAAUCCUCAAAACCGGUCUCAGUUCAGAUUGGAGUCUGCAACUCGACUCCAUGAAGGUGGAAUUGCUAGUAAUCGCGAAUCAGCAAGUCGCGGUGAAUACGUUCCCGGGGCUUGUACACACCGCCCGUCAAGCCAUGGAAGCCGGGGGUACCCGAAGUCGCUUUGUUAACCCGCAAGGGAUACGGGCGCCUAAGGUAAAAUCGGUGACUGGGGCUAAGUCGUAACAAGGUA
rnacentral:rRNA from 1 species